UACAUGCAAGUCGAACGGCAGCAGGCCCGCAAGGGUGCUGGCGAGUGGCGGACGGGUGCGUAACACGUGUGCAAUCUGCCCCUAACUGGAAGAUAGCUCUCCGAAAGGAGAAUUAAUACUCCAUAACAUAACGAAGAGGCAUCUCUUUGUUAUCAAAGCUCCGGCAGUUGGGGAUGAGCACGCGCCCCAUUAGUUAGUUGGCGAGGUAACGGCUCACCAAGACCUCGAUGGGUAGCUGGUCUGAGAGGAUGAUCAGCCACACGGGCGCUGAGACACGGGCCCGACUCCUACGGGAGGCAGCAGUAGGGAAUAUUGGGCAAUGGAGGCAACUCUGACCCAGCCAUCCCGCGUGCAGGACGAAGGCCCUCUGGGUUGUAAACUGCUUUUAUUGGGGAAGAAAAAUUGGGAUUCAUCCCGACUUGACGGUACCCAAUGAAUAAGCACCGGCUAACUCCGUGCCAGCAGCCGCGGUAAUACGGAGGGUGCAAGCGUUAUCCGGAUUCACUGGGUUUAAAGGGUGCGUAGGCGGCUAAGAAAGUCAGUGGUGAAAGCCCGCAGCUCAACUGCGGAACUGCCAUUGAAACUUCUUAGCUGGAGUACUAUUGAAGUGGGCGGAAUACAUCAUGUAGCGGUGAAAUGCUUAGAUAUGAUGUAGAACUCCGAUUGCGAAGGCAGCUCACUAAAUA
rnacentral:rRNA from 1 species